rnacentral:rRNA from 1 species
UUCUUCGUUAAGGAAGAAUUUGAAGAGAAAAUAUUUCUUACUUUAAAUUUAUACUAAUCUUAUUAUAAUAUUAUAAAAACUAAAAUAAAUUUAUACAUUUUUCUUAUUUCCUUAAUUAUUAAGUUUAUUUAAUUUCUAUUAUUCUAUAUAUUGUAAAAAUUAGUAUUAUUUAAUUAGUUUUAUCUAAGGAACUCGGCAAAUUUUUAUUCAACUGUUUAUCAAAAACAUAGUUUUAAGAAUAUAUAUUUAAAAUGAUUCCUGCCCUAUGAUUUAUUUUUAAAUGGCCGCAGUACUUUAACUGUGCUAAGGUAGCAUAAUAAUUUGGCUUUUAAUUAAAGUCUGGAAUAAAUGGAUUUAUGGAUAUAUACUGUCUUAGGUAAAUUAAAAAAAACUUAUUAAAAAGGUGAAAAUACCUUUAUUUAAUAAUUAGACGAGAAGACCCUAGGAGUUUUUAUUUUGUUGGGGCGACAUUCUUGUAUUGAACCAAGAAAAAUACAAUUCAACCAUUAUAUUAAUAUUAAUUAAACUACCCUAGGGAUAACAGCAUAAUUUUAUUUAAGUUUGUGACCUCGAUGUUGGACUAGG